GCGGGAGUAGCUCAGCUGGUAAAGUGUCAGCUUCCCAAGCUGAAUGUCGCUGGUUCGAGUCCCGUCUCCCGCUCCA
rnacentral:tRNA from 2 species